UGCUAAGGUAGCGCAAUCAAUUGUUGGUUAAUUGCUAACUGGUAUGAAAGGUCUAAUUAUUUAAGUACUUUGUCUGUGUUUGUAAGGUUAGAUUUUAAGUAAAAAUACUUAGAUAAUUAAAGGGGCGAUAAGACCCCAAAAGCUUUAUUUAGAUUAUAUUUGACUGGGGUAGUAGGUUUAUAAUAAUUACGAUAAUAUAAGGUUAAGAUUCUUUAAUUAAAGAUAGAAGGAGUAAGUUACUUUGGGGGUAACAGCGUUAUUAUCUCGGAAAGACCAUAUUUAUGAGAUUUAUUGCGACCUCGAUGUUGAAUUAAAAUAUCUACCAGAGGCAGUAAAUUGGCUAGAGAGUUUGUUCAACUUUUAAAAUUUUACAUGAUCUGAGUCACAAACACGGAA
rnacentral:rRNA from 1 species